UGGGGAAUUUUGGACAAUGGGCGAAAGCCUGAUCCAGCAAUGCCGCGUGUGUGAAGAAGGCCUUCGGGUUGUAAAGCACUUUUGUCCGGAAAGAAAUCCUUGGCUCUAAUACAGUCGGGGGAUGACGGUACCGGAAGAAUAAGCACCGGCUAACUACGUGCCAGCAGCCGCGGUAAUACGUAGGGUGCAAGCGUUAAUCGGAAUUACUGGGCGUAAAGCGUGCGCAGGCGGUUUGCUAAGACCGAUGUGAAAUCCCCGGGCUCAACCUGGGAACUGCAUUGGUGACUGGGCAGGCUAGAGUAUGGCAGAGGGGGGUAGAAUUCCACGUGUAGCAGUGAAAUGCGUAGAGAUGUGGAGGAAUACCGAUGGCGAAGGCAGCCCCCUGGGCCAAUACUGACGCUCAUGCACGAAAGCGUGGGGAGCAAAACAGGAUUAGAUACCCUGGUAGUCCACGCCCUAAAACGAUGUCAACUAGUUGUUGGGGAUUCAUUUCCUUAGUAACGUAGCUAACGCGUGAAGUUGACCGCUGGGGAGUACGUCGCAAGAUUAAAACUUAAAUGAAUUG
rnacentral:rRNA from 1 species